rnacentral:rRNA from 1 species
CAGUCGCCGCGGUAAUACGGAGGGAGCUAGCGUUGUUCGGAAUUACUGGGCGUAAAGCGCGCGUAGGCGGUUACUCAAGUCAGAGGUGAAAGCCCGGGGCUCAACCCCGGAACUGCCUUUGAAACUAGGUGACUAGAAUCUUGGAGAGGUCAGUGGAAUUCCGAGUGUAGAGGUGAAAUUCGUAGAUAUUCGGAAGAACACCAGUGGCGAAGGCGACUGACUGGACAAGUAUUGACGCUGAGGUGCGAAAGCGUGGGGAGCAAACAGGAUUAGAGACCCCGGUAGUCCCUGUCUCUUAUAA